UGGGAAGUCUUGCGCAAUGGUCGAAAGCCUGACGCAGCGACGCCGCGUGUGGGAGGAAGCCUUUCGGGGUGUAAACCACUGUUGCCCGGAGCGAACAGUUGCUUUCGAGCGACCUGACGGUACCGGGUGAGGAAGCACCGGCUAACUCUGUGCCAGCAGCCGCGGUAAUACAGAGGGUGCGAGCGUUGUCCGGAAUCACUGGGCGUAAAGGGCGCGUAGGUGGCGGGUGAAGCGUGCGGUGAAAGCUCGGGGCUCAAG
rnacentral:rRNA from 1 species